GAUGAACGCUAGCGGGAGGCUUAACACAUGCAAGUCGAGGGGCAGCAUAGGGUAGCAAUACUCUGAUGGCGACCGGCAAACGGGUGAGUAACGCGUAUGCAACCUACCCUGUACAGGGGGAUAACCCGGAGAAAUUCGGACUAAUAUCCCGUAAUAAUAUCCGGAGGCAUCUUUGGAUAUUUAAAGUUUCGACGGUACGGGAUGGGCAUGCGUAACAUUAGCUGGUUGGUAAGGUAACGGCUUACCAAGGCUAUGAUGUUUAGGGGUCCUGAGAGGGUGGUCCCCCACACUGGUACUGAGACACGGACCAGACUCCUACGGGAGGCAGCAGUGAGGAAUAUUGGUCAAUGGGCGCAAGCCUGAACCAGCCAUCCCGCGUGCAGGAAGACGGCCCUAUGGGUUGUAAACUGCUUCUCCAGGGAGAGAAACUUACGCACGUGUUGCGUGACUGACGGUACCCUGGGAAUAAGCAUCGGCUAACUCCGUGCCAGCAGCCGACGGUAAAAGUGUGUGUACG
rnacentral:rRNA from 1 species